GAUGAACGCUAGCUACAGGCUUAACACAUGCAAGUCGAGGGGAAACGACAUCGAAAGCUUGCUUUUGAUGGGCGUCGACCGGCGCACGGGUGAGUAACGCGUAUCCAACCUGCCCAUCACUUGGGAAUAACCUUGCGAAAGUAAGACUAAUACCCAAUGAUAUCCCACGAAGGCAUCGGAAUGGGAUUAAAGAUUUAUCGGUGAUGGAUGGGGAUGCGUCUGAUUAGCUUGUUGGCGGGGUAACGGCCCACCAAGGCAACGAUCAGUAGGGGUUCUGAGAGGAAGGUCCCCCACAUUGGAACUGAGACACGGUCCAAACUCCUACGGGAGGCAGCAGUGAGGAAUAUUGGUCAAUGGGCGAGAGCCUGAACCAGCCAAGUAGCGUGCAGGAUGACGGCCCUAUGGGUUGUAAACUGCUUUUAUAAGGGAAUAAAGUGGGUCUCGUGAGACUUUUUGCAUGUACCUGAUGAAUAAGGACCGGCUAAUUCCGUG
rnacentral:rRNA from 1 species